rnacentral:rRNA from 1 species
CAAGGAAUUUUCCACAAUGGACGAAAGUUGAUGGAGCUACGCCGCGUGCGGGAUGACGCUUUCGGGGUGUAAACCGCUUUUCAUGGGGACGCGGUACCCAUGGAAUAAGGAUCGGCUAACUACGUGCCAGCAGCCGCGGUAAGACGUAGGAUCCGAGCGUUGUCCGGAGUUACUGGGCGUAAAGCGAGCGCAGGCGGUCGUGUGCAUCGGCGGUGAAAGCCCCCCGCUCAACGGGGGAGGGUCCGUCGAGAUGGCACGACUGGAGGCUGGGAGAGGUCGGUGGAAUUCCGGGUGUAGUGGUGAAAUGCGUAGAGAUCCGGAGGAACACCAGUGGCGAAGGCGGCCGACUGGACCAGACCUGACGCUAAGGCUCGAAGGCGUGGGGAGCGAACGGGAUUAGAUACCCGUGUAGU